rnacentral:rRNA from 1 species
UACGUAGGUGGCAAGCGUUGUCCGGAUUUACUGGGCGUAAAGCGUACGCAGGCGGUCUGUUAAGUAGGAAGUGAAAGGUCGGAGCUCAACUCCAACAUUGCUUCCUAUACUGGCAGUCUUGAGUAGCGGAGAGGAAGGGGGAACGACACGUGUAGCGGUGAAAUGCGUUGAUAUGUGUCGGAACACCCAUGGCGAAAGCACCCUUCUGGACGCAAACUGACGCUCAGGUUCGAAAGCUAAGGUAGCGAACAGG